rfam:Lachnospiraceae bacterium 10-1 genomic scaffold acPFo-supercont1.7, whole genome shotgun sequence.
UGGGCUGGUCGAAAGACCCUGGUCCACCGAACGGCGGGGAAUUUCCCC